CCCUUUUCCCGUGCAUAUGCAUCGGACUCGGAUGACGAUGGUCCCGAUGAAGAAGUUGAUGAGGAGGGGUUCACGCCGAAGGAGGCCCAAGCAUUCAAGAAGGUAUUCGGGCGGGAUCACAAGACACCAUUGUUCAAGGAUCUUAGUCUCGCGGAUGAAGCCGUUGUGGAUGGUGUCAAAUGCAUAUCUCUUGGAGCUAGGCCAAGUUCUCAUCGUGAUUUGGAAGACGGCAAGAACGGGAUAUAUCCCGGUUGUGAGUUUCAAUCCUUCUUGGAAUUGAAGAUGUGGCUCAACAACUACUCUGUUACACAUUAUCGUCCACAUAAAGUGGCCAACUCAGACGUGAAUGUGCGUUACACAGUCAAAUGUGAAGUGCCAACAUGUCCAUGA
rnacentral:rRNA from 1 species